CACGUAGGAGGCGAGCGUUGUCCGGAAUCAUUGGGCGUAAAGCGCGCGCAGGCGGCUUGGCAAGUCGGGGGUGAAAUCCCGGGGCUCAACCCCGGGACUGCAUCCGAUACUGUCAGGCUAGAGGUAGGUAGGGGAGAUCGGAAUUCCUGGUGUAGCGGUGAAAUGCGCAGAUAUCAGGAGGAACACCGGUGGCGAAGGCGGAUCUCUGGGCCUUACCUGACGCUCAGGCGCGAAAGCUAGGGGAGCGAACAGG
rnacentral:rRNA from 1 species